rnacentral:rRNA from 1 species
UGAGGAAUAUUGGUCAAUGGGCGAGAGCCUGAACCAGCCAAAUCGCGUGAAGGAAGACUGCCUUAUGGGUUGUAAACUUCUUUUAUACAGGAAUAAAAAAGGGGACGUGUCCCUUAUUGCAUGUACUGUAUGAAUAAGCAUCGGCUAACUCCGUGCCAGCAGCCGCGGUAAUACGGAGGAUGCGAGCGUUAUCCGGAUUUAUUGGGUUUAAAGGGUGCGCAGGCGGGCUUUUAAGUCAGCGGUGAAAUCUCGGGGCUUAACUCCGAAACUGCCGUUGAAACUGGGAGUCUUGAGUAUGGAUGAAGUAGGCGGAAUUCGUUGUGUAGCGGUGACAUGCUUAGAUAUAACGAGGAACUCCGAUUGCGUAGGCAGCUUACUAAGCCAUAACUGACGCUCAAGCACGAAAGCGUGGGGAUCAAACAGGAUUAGAUACCCUGGUAGUCCACGCCGUAAACGAUGAUUACUAGUUGUAUGCGAUAUACCGUAUGUGACUAAGCGAAAAGCGAUAAGUAAUCCACCUGGGGAGUACGCCGGCAACGGUGAAACUUAAAUGAAUUGACGGGGUCAUAGCUGUUUCCUG